rnacentral:tRNA from 1 species
AGGGGUGUAGCUCAGCGGCAGAGCAGCGAUCUCCAAAGUCGUGAAGCGCAGGUUCGAGUCCUGUCACCCCUG